rnacentral:rRNA from 1 species
CAGUAGCCGCGGUAAUACGAAGGGUGCAAGCGUUAAUCGGAAUUACUGGGCGUAAAGCGUGCGUAGGCGGUUUGUUAAGUCUGCUGUGAAAUCCCCGGGCUCAACCUGGGAAUGGCAGUGGAUACUGGCAAGCUAGAGUGUGUCAGAGGAUGGUGGAAUUCCCGGUGUAGCGGUGAAAUGCGUAGAGAUCGGGAGGAACAUCGGUGGCGAAGGCGGCCAUCUGGGACAACACUGGCGCUGAGGCACGAAAGCGUGGGGAGCAAACAGGAUUAGAUACCCCCGUAGUCCCUGUCUCUUAUAC